CAUGCAAGUCGAACGGCAGCACGGGAGCAAUCCUGGUGGCGAGUGGCGAACGGGUGAGUAAUACAUCGGAACGUGCCCAAUCGUGGGGGAUAACGCAGCGAAAGCUGUGCUAAUACCGCAUAAGAUCUAAGGAUGAAAGCAGGGGACCGCAAGGCCUUGCGCGAAUGGAGCGGCCGAUGGCAGAUUAGGUAGUUGGUGAGGUAAAGGCUCACCAAGCCUUCGAUCUGUAGCUGGUCUGAGAGGACGACCAGCCACACUGGGACUGAGACACGGCCCAGACUCCUACGGGAGGCAGCAGUGGGGAAUUUUGGACAAUGGGCGCAAGCCUGAUCCAGCCAUGCCGCGUGCAGGAUGAAGGCCUUCGGGUUGUAAACUGCUUUUGUACGGAACGAAAAGGUUCUUUCUAAUAAAGAGAGCUCAUGACGGUACCGUAAGAAUAAGCACCGGCUAACUACGUGCCAGCAGCCGCGGUAAUACGUAGGGUGCAAGCGUUAAUCGGAAUUACUGGGCGUAAAGCGUGCGCAGGCGGUGAUGUAAGACAGUUGUGAAAUCCCCGGGCUCAACCUGGGAACUGCAUCUGUGACUGCAUCGCUGGAGUACGGUAGAGGGGGAUGGAAAUUCCGCGUGUAGCAGUGAAUUGCGUAGAUAUUGCGAGGAACAUCNNAUGGCGAAGGCAAUCCCCUUGACCUUGUACUGANNCU
rnacentral:rRNA from 1 species